UUUAAAUCUGUAAAAGGGCACAGAUAAAAGCUCAUCCUGAUGCUCCAGGCUCAGGGAAAUGGUAUCAGAUGUUCGGCCUUUGGGUUGUUUAUCUGUUGUAAAGUGUGAGGCACAGGGGACCUUCCAUGGGAGACUGGGGACGCUGAACUCUCGCUCACUGACAGAAGCGUUGCUUUUGUAGGACCAAGGCCCUGAGCCUCACCUCUGUGCGGAUCCAGGAGAAAACAGCAUCACAGCACCCGAGCCUCAGGAAGAGGCACUGACAAGUGAAAAUGCACAACUCUGAAGAGAAACUAAGCUACCUAACCCCAUCUGCCCAGAGAAGUCAAGGACGCAAGCCACACCCACUCCGUGUUCUCAGGCAGUGUGACUGCUUAGCCUCGGACCUGUCAUCGCUGGAGUCUGAGGAGCAGCCAUAGGGAGAGGGAACACUUGACUCAAGGUUUGAGCAUUAAUAAAAGCAGGGCUGUAAUAAUGCUAACGCCAAGCAUCUAUAGGCAUGUCCACACAUUCUCAGAGGAGGACAUAUGUCCAGCUAUCCACUCACUUGGCAAAGACUUAAAGCUGAAAGAUUUUCAGAUUACUGAAUAAAGUGUGAUUAUGACUAA